CCAGACGCGCCCCUCUUAAAAUGAGUCCACCAGCCACCCGUCCAACAUCGAACUGAAGAGAAAAUCCUAUUGCCGUAGUGCUAGCCCGCUUGCAUCUCUGCCGCCAUUGCGGAGCUCGAGAACCACUUGAUUUUGUCCGUCUACGACGGCAGUACCCACAUCUCGUAACUGAUGAGCUCACCAUGAUUCUUAAACAGCAAAAUGCAAGGGCUCUCAUGCACUUGUCUCAAGCGAGCAAAAUGCUUCCAAAUGGCACUGUCUCAAGCAAAAAAUGCCAUGCAGAUUAACAUGGUUUUUUGAUCAAGUUCUGAAUUCAAUUAGCCGUCGUUGUGUUUGUUGCUGCGCGCGCGGGGAUUUAUUGAAUGCCCAACUUCAGGUUGUCAUGCUGUCUAUUUUGUACUGCAUCCCAAAAGCUCUAUUUUUUUCCGCUAUCUGAGGGCAAUUUUUUCGCUUAAUACAAUGUUUAGCAGCUGGGCACCGGAUCAUAGUUACAGCAAUUCUGCCUGCCUAGGAAGGACGAAUACCUUCAUCAUCUCGAUGAAAAGACAGUCCAGGCCGACAGU